UACGGGGGGGGCAAGCGUUGUUCGGAAUUACUGGGCGUAAAGGGCUCGUAGGCGGCCAACUAAGUCAGACGUGAAAUCCCGAGGCUCAACCUCGGGUCUGCAGUCGAUACGAGCAAACUAGAGUGUUGCAGGGGAGACUGGAAUUCCUGGUGUAGCGGUGAAAUGCGUAGAUAUCGGGAGGAACACCAGUGGCGAAGGCGACUACCUGGCCUGUUCUUGACGCUGAGGCGCGAAAGCUAGGGGAGCAAACGGG
rnacentral:rRNA from 1 species